rnacentral:rRNA from 1 species
UUGUCCGGAUUUACUGGGUGUAAAGGGCGUGCAGCCGGGAAUGCAAGUCAGAUGUGAAAUCCAUGGGCUUAACCCAUGAACUGCAUUUGAAACUGUAUUUCUUGAGUACUGGAGAGGCAAUCGGAAUUCCUAGUGUAGCGGUGAAAUGCGUAGAUAUUAGGAGGAACACCAGUGGCGAAGGCGGAUUGCUGGACAGCAACUGACGGUGAGGCGCGAAAGUGUGGGGAGCAAACAGGAUUAGAUACCCUGGUAGUCCACACUGUAAACGAUGAAUACUAGGUGUGCGGGGACUGACCCCCUGCGUGCCGCAGUUAACACAAUAAGUAUUCCACCUGGGGAGUACGAUCGCAAGGUUGAAACUCAAAGGAAUUGACGGGGGCCCGCACAAGCGGUGGAUUAUGUGGUUUAAUUCGAAGCAACGCGAAGAA